GGGUCCAAAUGUGGUUGGGUUUUUGUUAGGUUUGAGGUAGGUGACCUCUAAUCUAUCUCUUUUUCUCUCUUGUGAACAUUCAUUGUAAGGUGUUUUGAUUGAAGGUUUAUUUUGUACUUUUUGUUUUUCAUUGUAUAGUGUUUUGGAUACUCUUGAUGAAAUUGUUUAAUUUCAUAUUUGGAGUUGUUUGAGAUUUUUAUUGUGAGCUUCUAUUUCUAUGUUCUUUUGUCUUCUUGGAUGUAUAGAAAACUUGAAUUUUCAGUUUCUAUACGUAGGAGGAAAGUGUGCAGUCCGAUUGGAGCUGCUUUUACUUCUCUCUUCAUAUAAUAUUACAAUAGUGAAGGAUUACCUCGAAAAUAUCUUCGAGUGGAGGUGGGUAUCUCGUAUUACUAAUUGUCGGUUAUCUUACAUCAUGUCAUGUAAAUUACAAGUUUAACUCUCCAACCCCCUAAAUUCUUUCGGUACAUCAUUUUUAAAAUUUUAAUUUAAAAUUUUAAAUUAUCAAAUUUUAAAUUUUAAAUCUUAAUUUUAAAUUAAUUUUCAAUUUUCAAUUUUCAAUUUUUCAAAUUUUAAAUUUUAACAAAUUUAAAUUUUAAACUUUUAAUUUUAAAUUUUAAAUUUUAAAUUUCAAAUGUCAAAUUUUAAAUUUUAAACUAUAAAUUUAUAUUUUAAAUUCUAAAUUUAAAUUUUAAAAUUUAAACUUAAAUUUAUAUUCUAAAUUUUCAAAUUUUAUUUAUAAAUUUCGUAUUUAUAUUUUAAAUUAAAAUAUUAAACUUUAUAUUUUUGUUCAAAUUUAAAAUUUAAAAUAAAAAAUUAAAUUUAAAUUUUGUAUUUUGUAUUUUAUAUUUAUUUAAAUAAAAUUUAUUUAAAAAAUUUAUUAUUUGUAAACAGUAAAAGAAUUUACCAAAUAUGAGUAUGGGUAAUUUUGAAAUACACAACACUUUAUUAUCAAGAUUACUGAUCUUCGUAAAAUAAACCAAAUAUAGUAAUUCUAUAUAUACUGUUUACAAAUAAUAAAUUUUUUAAAUAAAUUUUAUUUAAAUAAAUAUAAAAUACAAAAUACAAAAUUUAAAUUUAAUUUUUUAUUUUAAAUUUUAAAUUUGAACAAAAAUAUAAAGUUUAAUAUUUUAAUUUAAAAUAUAAAUNAAUAUUAUAUAUAUCUACUUAUUUAUUUAUAAAUAGUAAAUUUAAAUAAUUAAUAAAUUUAUACAAUUAUUUUAUGUUUAGUGAAGGUAACCUCACCACUCUAUCUGAAGAGGUGACAAAAUUCAUAAAUACAACUAUCAACUUCAUAUUACCAAACAGAAGAAAUGUAACUGCAGCAGUUGCAACUGCGUAAAACCAAACAGACUAGGUGUAGUUAUAACUGCAGCAUUUGCAACUGCAUGUAUUUCCAACUACACUAUUUCUGCAACUACAUCCAACCAAACGGCCCCUUAGUGAUGCAGUAAAAUCAUUGUAGAUUCCUAAGUGACAAGAACACUAGAUUAUUAUU
rnacentral:lncRNA from 1 species